UCUAUAUGAACCGGGUGGUUUAGUCCAAAUUUUCUAAAGAGACACAAUCACUUUAUACUGAUGAACAGAUUGAAUUUAGGCUUUUAUUCACAGAUAAACAUUCAUCAACGUACACAUUUCUUAUGGUAAACAGAAGCUCAAGCGUGUUCGCUUGACAUGUGAGAACCAGUGAGGUUCAUUCUCGUGUUACGCAGCACGUUUAAGCUUCCGCAAAAACCAAUGAGGUUCAUUCACAUGUUUUGUGCAGCACGUUUGAGCUUCCACAAAAACCAAUGAGGUUCAUUCUCGUGUUUUGUGCAGCACGUUUGAGCUUCCGCAAAAACCAAUGAGGUUCAUUCUCGUGUUUUGUGCAGCAUGUUUGAGCUUCCACAAAAACCAAUGAGGUUCAUUCUCGUGUUACGCAGCACGUUUGAGCUUCCGCAAGAACCAGUGAGGUUCAUUCUCAUAUGUUACACAGCACAUUUGAGCUUCCGCAAGAAUCAAUGAGGUUCAUUCUCGUGUGUUACGAAUCACGUUUGAGCUUCCGCAAGAACCAAUGAGGUUCAUUCACGUGUUACGAAUCACGUUUAAGCUUCCACAAAAACCAGUGAGGUUCAUUCUCGUUUUACGCAGUACGUUUGAGCUUCCGCAAGAACCAAUGAGGUUCAUUCUCGUGUUACGCAGCACAUUUGAGCUUCCGCAAGAACCAAUGAGGUUCAUUCUCGUGUGUUACGCAACACGUUUGAGCUUCCACAAGAACCAAUGAGGUUCAUUCUCAUGUUACUCAACACAUUUGAGCUUCCUCAAGAACCAAUGAGAUUAAUUCUCGUGUUUUGUGCAGCACAUUUGAGCUUCCUCAAGAACCAAUGAGAUUCAUUCUCGUGUUUUGUGCAGCACGUUUGAGCUUCCUCAAGAACCAAUGAGGUUCAUUCUCGUGUUUUGUGCAGCACGUUUGAGCUUCCGCAAAAAUCAAUGAGGUUCAUUCUCGUGUUACUCAGCACAUUUGAGCUUCCUCAAGAACCAAUGAGGUUCAUUCUCAUGUUACUCAGCACAUUUGAGCUUCCUCAAGAACCAAUGAGAUUCAUUCUCGUGUUUUGUGCAGCACGUUUGAGCUUCCUCAAGAACCAAUGAGAUUCAUUCUCGUGUUUUGUGCAGCACGUUUGAGCUUCCGCAAAAACCAAUGAGGUUCAUUCUCGUGUUUUGUGCAGCACGUUUGAGCUUCUGCAAGAACCAAUGAGGUUCAUUCUCGUGUUACGCAACACGUUUGAGCUUCCACAAGAACCAAUGAGGUUCAUUCUUGUGUGUUACGCAGCACGUUUGAGCUUCCGCAAGAAUCAAUGAGGUUCAUUCUCAUGUGUUACGAAUCACAUUUGAGCUUCCGCUAGAACCAAUGAGGUUCAUUCUCGUGUGUUACGCAGCACGUUUGAGUUUCCGCAAGAAUCAAUGAGGUUCAUUCUUGUGUUACGCAGCACGUUUGAGCUUCCGCAAGAACCAAUGAGGUUCAUUCUCGUGUGUUACGCAACAUGUUUGAGCUUCCACAAGAACGAAUGAGGUUCAUUCUUGUGUGUUACGCAGCACGUUUGAGCUUCCGCAAGAAUCAAUGAGGUUCAUUCUCGUGUUAUGCAACACGUUUGAGCUUCCGCAAGACCCAAUGUUCAUUCUCGUGUUAUGCAGCACAUUUGAGCUUCCGCAAGAACCAAUGAGAUUCAUUCUCAUGUUACGCAGCACAUUUGAGCUUCCGCAAGAACCAAUGAGGUUCAUUCUCGUGUGUUACGCUGCACAUUUGAGCUUCCGCAAGAACCAAUGAGGUUCAUUCUCGUGUGUUACGCAACAUGUUUGAGCUUCCACAAGAACCAGUGAGGUUCAUUCUCGUGUUACGCAGCACAUUUGAGCUUCCACAAGAACCAAUGAGGUUCAUUCUCAUGUUACGCACCACGUUUGAGGUUACGCAAGAACCAGUGAGGUUCAUUCUUGCGUGUUACGCAGCACGUUUGAGCUUCCGCAAAAACCAAUGAGGUUCAUUCUCAUGUUAUGCAGCACGUUUGAGCUUCCGCAAGAACCAAUGAGGCUCAUUCUCGUGUUACGCAACACGUUUGAGCUUCCGUGAGAACCAAUGAGGUUCAUUCUCGUGUGUUAUGCAACACGUUUGAGCUUCCGCAAGAACCAAUGUUCAUUCUCGUGUUAUGCAGCACAUUUGAGCUUCCGCAAGAACCAAUGAGGUUCAUUCUCAUGUUACGCAGCACAUUUGAGCUUCCGCAAGAACCAAUGAGGUUCAUUCUCGUGUGUUACGCUGCACGUUUGAGCUUCCGCAAGAACCAAUGAGGUUCAUUCUCGUGUGUUACGCAACACAUUUGAGCUUCCGCAAGAACCAAUGUUCAUUCUCGUGUUACGCAGCACAUUUGAGCUUCCGCAAGAACCAAUGAGGUUCAUUCUUGUGUGUUAUGCAGCACAUUUAAGCUUCCGCAACUGUGGUUGUACAGAUUGGAGCUGUUGAGUUGAGAUAUACUGUUGGUUCAGUUUGUAGUCUCAAACUCUAAAGAAAAUUAAAAUUUU